rnacentral:lncRNA from 1 species
AAUCAAUUCAUAUUACAAAUAUAUUCAUGGUUUUGAAUUAACCUCUAGCCAAAAUAAGUUUAAUUACACAUUAUUAAAACAGAAAUAAAAUAGAAGUUUGGAAAGAUUAAACCGAAAGAGAAAAAGAUCUUCUGUGCUUCUGCGCAGUUCUCUCCACUCUCCUGCACGUCAACUCCUUGCUGCCUUCUAUAUUAUCUCCCCAUGCUCACGCUGCUAUCCUCCUGACCUCCCACGCUGCCCAAAGGGCAGCCCUCCACAAUCCUCACGCUGACAAUUCCCUGGACUCCCCCUUACUCAAGCUGCCAAAUGGCAGCUUUCCUCUGGACUCUCUCCUAUCCGUGCUGCUCUCCCCGUCAGUCUAUUAUAUUUUCUUCUGAGCUGCCAAAGGCAGCUUGGCUGCUUCUUUCCGUCCCUCUCUCUCCGCGCUGUUUUUUUUCUACAGCUGCCACGAGGCAGCUCUCUCCUCAAGCUCUCGGUUCUCUCCCUGUUCUCACGCUCCCCGCGAGCUGCCCAAAGGCAGCUCCCCCCUUCUGCGUCCUGUCCUCUCUCCUCCUUCUAUUCUCCCGCUGCCAACCCCACUAUGCAGUGCUUUCUGUUUCUUUAUUCCUCCAUCAUCCCCUUGUCUCCCACUUCUUCUUCAUAUAUUUCUUCUUUUCCAUUUCGUGCUGUCAUUGCCGUGCUUUCCUUCUUUUAUUAUGCGCAUGUCUUUCACUUUGGCAGCCAGGCUGCCCUCCACUUUUCCAGCUUAUUUUUAUUCCCUUUGACCAGCUGCAAAGCAGCUUUCACCCUAGCUUUUGACUGUCAUCACACAGCUGCCCACGCAGCUAUUUCUUUUUCGUCACAGACAGCCCACCUGUCUCUCUUGGAUCCCCCCUCAUUAUCCUUCUUUAUUUUUUUUUUCAUUUCUUUUCUUCUUUCUUUCUACAAAACAUAUCAAAUCUUAUAAACACAAAAAUAACGUAAAUAGCUCAAAAAUAUAAGGAACUAACUAAGAAAAGACGAGUGAAUUCGAAGUAAAAAUAUAUAUAAAUAUGAUCCGAUCAAAUACCCCCACACUUAACUUUUGCUAGUCCUCGAGCAAAACAAAGAAAACAAGAACAAGAAGUAACAAGAAAAACAUUAGUUUCCCCCUAUGUGACCCUCAUAGAAUUUCAUUCAAGAAAACAAAUCAUCAAGAACCAUAGCUAGCAUCAAGGAACUAAUCCAAGUUCAUCUUCCUUAUUCAAAUAUUAGCAGUAAUCUUUGAAUCAUCCUUGAAGUGUAGUGUGUGAGAUAGACAUGCUAAUGCAAUUUCAAGUUUUAUUUUUAAAAUCAUCAUAUGCAAACUAGUAACAUUCUCACGGGAUAUACACUCAAUCACAUAUGUGUUUAGUUUUAAUGUGUUUCGCUCAAAGAAUCAAAUGUGAAAUUUCUACCAUAAGCUUGCAUAAAGAUCACUUCUCCACAGUCAUAAUUGCAAAACUUAAAUCAAGAGGACUUUUAUUGGAUGUAAUGAGGCUUAGGGAUAAGGUUAUUGAAACGAAAGAAUAGGAAAACACAAGUUCCAAGCUACAUUGCAAGCAAUUAUUUUGUUUAGAUUUAUAAGAACUCAAGCUCUCCAACGAUUCUUCUGAAACCUCCAACCACACCCUUAAACUGAAACUUUAAAAACUUUUUAUUUUCUUUGUGUACAAUCUUUCUUUUUCUUUUUCUUUUAUUCUCUUUUCUCUUUUUUUUUUUUUUUUUUUUUUUUUUUUUUUUUUUAUACAAACAUGAAAUACCCCCACACUUAUUCUUUUGCCAAACACCUUCAAAGUACUUCACAAACAUUUCUCAUAAGACAAUCUCACAUUGCUCGCUUGGAAAGGGUAAGGAAAAAUGUUUCAGGUAUAAGGGUAGACAUAUCUGGUGAUAAGAAAUAAAAGGCUCAACAAACACGGCUCAAAUUGGCAAUCUAAUGAUAUCAUUUUUCUUUGGGAAACAUGGUUAUUUGGGCCAUGGUGGUAAACCUAAUGCCUCUAUCAUUUCCAAGUUCAUGCAAUCAAUGACAAACAUUUCGAAAGAUCGUUACGCAAGUUCUAGAGAUGUAUCUCACAUAAGUUCAUCACACAUAAAAAAAAUAGGAGUGUAUGAAAAAUGCACACACUUUCAAUAGGCUCAAAAACUCACAUAGGAUGUAUAUGGUCACUAAAUUCACAUAUGAAGCUUUAAGUCAUACUUUAGUUUCACAUUAACAAGGCUAUGUGCAUUUGGUUUUUCAAAGAUGGUCAAACAUGUACAAAACUAACAAGAGAAUAAGGAAUUUCACAAAACACAUGUUAACUAAGUUCUUGAUGAUCAUGGUUCGAAUUUGAUCCAAUUAUAUCAUUGGGUCGGGAAACUAACAAAAAUCUGAUUCAGAACAAUAAGGGAAACAAGACAAUAUUUUUGGACUUUUAAAUUUUCCGAUUUUUUUAUUUUUUUAUUUUUAAAGAAAACAAAAAGCAACAACACAGAAACAAAUGAAAUUCUAGAGAUUUCUACCCCCACACUUAAACUUGACAUUGUCCCCAAUGUCAGAAAACACUAUAACGCAAAUAAAAUAAAAUAAAUAAAUAAUAAGAAACAAAAUAAAGCAAUUGGACUGAAAACUUCCCUAAUUUGCAGUAAAAUCAAGCGAUGACCCCCAAGAUAAAAUUCUGCAAUCAACUUCAAGGGUGGAAAUAACCAAAAGUUCCUGCAAAGAAAAGAAAUAAUUCAGUUAAGUAACGCAAGAACAUAAAAUAAUAAUAAAAAAUAAAUAAAAAAAUUGCAAACGAAAAAUUGAAAAUCACGAUAAAAGACAAUGAAAAGAACUAAUAAGUAAUCAUUGGUCGUGCUUGUUGACUUUCCACAGCUUUCCUCUUGAACAGGGUGACACUUAGCUUUUUACUUGCAAGUUAUGAUUUGAUGAUAUUGUACGGCGAAGCUUUGCUCUUUGGUGAUGUUGCAGUUCCUUAUUUGUUCUCCAAGCAGAUGUGGCAGCUUCUCUAGUUCUUCAGCUCGGACUCCUUCCGCUGGGAUGAUUGUACGAGCUGCAUUCUUCUCUGCUUGUUUCUUCUGUACGUUGUCUCCACAUGCUGUUGGUAUCAUUUUCGCUUGCCUUAUCUGUUCUUCAGGUAGAUGUGCCAGCUUCUUUGGAAGUACAUCAGCAGUGGAAGACGAGUACUCGAGAGCAAUUUCUCCAUGUCCUGCAGGUUAGAACAAAGACAAGGAAAAGGACAUGGAGAAUGCAUGAUAUGAGAUACUCUUGCUUUCAACCAUUAUGAUAUGAAAUACUUUUGCUCUGGAUGGGUUGUUUGCAGGGGUAUCCCAGGGAAUGAGGAAUACAGUGUGACUCGAGAGGGUUCUUUGGGAAUGCAUUCUCGAAGAUGAAGAAGUGCUGAGAGGGUGUGCUUUUGCUGUGGAAGGCGAAGGUAAAUACUUAUAGGACUUUUCUUCACAACCGGAACUAUUCUCUCACUCAUUGUCGGCAGCCGGUGGAUGGAUGAAUAGUACAAAUUACGCGCUUUCUGACAAAGCUGCCCGUAAUUUCCGCAAAGCAGAUUCCUCAUUGAUAUCUGGAAUCGGCGCUUCGAGCUCUGAGCAUCGUCGAUUGUAGAGGUAGCAUGUGACACGUGCGGAUAAAUCUGGAAAAGAAGAUUUGCCCGUGGGUUGAAGCCCAGCUUUUGAGAAAGCUAGCGUGUCUUUGACUGUUGAAUUUCCCUCCUCGAUUUCUGAAUUGGUGCUUCGACAAACUGCCCGAGAUUUCCGCAAAGCAAUUUGCGUGUGACAAGUGACGACACGUCUGGACAAAUUGAUCUUUUGAAAUCCAGGGUUCGGCUCGUGGUUUCUGAGCAAGCCCAGCCUUUAAGAAAUGAAACGCCUCUUUUGAGAAAAGAAUCCGGCUUUUGAGAAAGGAGCCCCGACUCUUCGAUUUGCGAGAGGACGCUUCUCUGAGGAGCGCCUCUUUGAUUUCUUCUUUUUAUAGAGGCGUUAAUUUUGUUCCACAACACAAUUGAGCUCCCUCCUGUAAACACUCCCUUCUUGCACUUCCAAAAUCUUAAUCAGUCCGACUCUCUUCUUUCUUCACCACCUCUGAAAAAUGUCUGGCCCUUCCGAUCGUCGUUUUGAGUUGAACAUUGGUGAAGAGGCAGCUCCGCCUUCACCAGACAACAUAUGGCGCCCAUCCUUCAUAUCCCCUACCGGUCCCCUCACUGUUGGGGAUUCGGUGAUGAAAAAUGACAUGACCGCUGCGGUGGUGGCCCGAAACCUUGUCACCCCCAGAGAUAACAGACUGCUCGCUAGACGGUCUGAUGAAUUGGCGGUUAAGGAGUCUCUGGCUCUUAGCGUGCAGUGUGCUGGUUCCGUGUCCAACAUGGCCCAACGCCUAUUUGCCAGAACCCGUCACGUUGAAUCGUUGGUGGCUGAAAUACAGAGUCUCAAAGAGGAGAUUAAAGGACUCAAGCAUGAAAAUAAACAAUUGCACAAGCUCGCACACAGCUAUGCCACCAGCAUGAAGAGGAAGAUUGACCAGAUGCAGGACACCGAUAGUCAAAUUUUACUUGAUCAUCGGAGGUUUGUGGGUUUGUUCCAACAACAUCUGCCUUCGUCUUCUAGAGCGGCACCGCGUAGUGAAGCUCCAACUGAUCAACCUCUGCCGCCUCCUCCUUCUGUGGCCCCGCCGACUGCUGAAGCCCCGCCUACUACUGAAGCACCACCCGACCAAUGAAUACUAUUAGUUUACAUCAUUGUAAAAUAUUUGUACUUUACUUUUUUUUUUUUUUUUUUUUUUUAAUGUAUUAUUAUUAUUAUUAUUUUUUUUUAAUUGUUUUUUUUUUUUUAUAUAAUUUUUUUUUUAUAUGUAAAUUAAAGUAGAAAGACUUUUGUUAACCUUCCCUCACACUUAAACUAAAUAACACAAACUCACAGAAAUCAAACAAAUAACACAACUAACUAAACAAAACAAAAUGAAAGCAUUAAAGAUAAGGGUGUAAAAAUGCAAAUCUGAUUGGGUUAGCGAUUCCAAAGUCUCCCUUCGUUGAAUGCUUGGGUUGCCUCCCAAGAAGCGCUUGAUUUAACGUCUUUAGCCGGACGCAUCUUUCCUUUAAAUUUCCCUCAGCUCCAUUUGUACCUAAAAUCAAAGAAAGAAAAAUAAAUCAAAUAUCAAAAGUAAAAUACACAAACACCAAUAUAAACAUAAACAAAAACAAAAAUAAAAGGAUUAGCAAAGUUACUAAUCCCCGGCAACGGCGCCAAAAUUUGAUGCGAAUAAUAUAAGCACACAAAUUAAACCCUCUUUUUGACAAUUGUAGUAAAGAUGUAAGUAGGGUAUCGUUCUAGGCCGGGGAUUAGGAGGGAUUGCUAAUCUAUUCUAAAAUAAUUUAAAAAAUAUUAAACAAGACUCAAGGAAACAAAAUUAGGCUAAAAACUCUAAUAACUCGAAACACACUUAGAAUGACUCAAAAUAAUGAAAACAAUCAAAUUAAACACUAGGAACUGAAAUGGACGGAAAUUGAAUUAAAAGACUAACAACAAAGAAAACUAACUAAAUAAUAUAAUUUAAUAAUGGAUGGGUGUUUUGGUUUUGAUGAAAAGUAAAAUAAAACUUAAUUAAAUUACAGAAUUGACAAAAACAUAAAAUUAAGGUAAAAUGAUAAAUGACGGACUAGCUAGAGGGUUCUUCUCCACACAUGACACAUAUGCAACCUAAAUUGAUUUUUCAGUUGUUCUUUCAAUAAAUUGUAAAUCUCAACGCCCCAAAUUAACCGUGAACAGCACUUUUUUAAUCUUCAAGUUUUCCUUAAGUUAUUGAAUUGGACGGGAAAACGCAUACACAACAAUUCAAAACAUUCUUCAAAAGUCCCCUACGUGAAAAGCACAAUAGAGAUACAAUCAAAGAUCAUUAGACUUUGUGAAAACUAUAAGCAUUGACGAGGCAUUCGUAACUAUGAAAAAGCAUGAUACUCUUGCCAAGAAUUCACUUAACACGAUUGUGGAUAACAACCUUCACUACUUGUGAAUAUAAGUUCAUAACGAUUAGGUGAAAUUCACUUAUAUUCUAGCAUCAAAUUCAUGCAUGUAAAUUAAGUAUGCAUCCUUAAUCGACAUACAAAAAUAAGUUAUCAAUCAAACAGUUAAGCAAAUUAAAUCACAACUCAGAAAUCACAACUUAAGGUAAUCAAUUCAUAUUACAAAUAUAUUCAUGGUUUUGAAUUAACCUCUAGCCAAAAUAAGUUUAAUUACACAUUAUUAAAACAGAAAUAAAAUAGAAGUUUGGAAAGAUUAAACCGAAAGAGAAAAAGAUCUUCUGUGCUUCUGCGCAGUUCUCUCCACUCUCCUGCACGUCAACUCCUUGCUGCCUUCUAUAUUAUCUCCCCAUGCUCACGCUGCUAUCCUCCUGACCUCCCACGCUGCCCAAAGGGCAGCCCUCCACAAUCCUCACGCUGACAAUUCCCUGGACUCCCCC